rnacentral:rRNA from 1 species
UGGGGAAUAUUGCACAAUGGGCGAAAGCCUGAUGCAGCGACGCCGCGUGAGGGAUGACGGCCUUCGGGUUGUAAACCUCUUUCAGCAGGGACGAAGCGCAAGUGACGGUACCUGCAGAAGAAGCACCGGCUAACUAAGUGCCAGCAGCCGCGGUAAUACGUAGGGUGCAAGCGUUGACCGGAAUUACUGGGCGUAAAGAGUUCGUAGGCGGUUUGUCGCGUCGUUUGUGAAAACCAGCAGCUCAACUGCUGGCUUGCAGGCGAUACGGGCAGACUUGAGUACUGCAGGGGAGACUGGAAUUCCUGGUGUAGCGGUGAAAUGCGCAGAUAUCAGGAGGAACACCGGUGGCGAAGGCGGGUCUCUGGGCAGUAACUGACGCUGAGGAACGAAAGCGUGGGUAGCGAACAGG